rnacentral:rRNA from 1 species
GACGAACGCUGGCGGCGUGCCUAAUACAUGCAAGUCGAACGCUGAAGGAGGAGCUUGCUUCUCUGGAUGAGUUGCGAACGGGUGAGUAACGCGUAGGUAACCUGCCUGGUAGCGGGGGAUAACUAUUGGAAACGAUAGCUAAUACCGCAUAAGAGUAGAUGUUGCAUGACAUUUUCUUAAAAGGUGCCAUUGCAUCACUCCCAGAUGGACCUGCGUUGUAUUAGCUAGUUGGUGGGGUAACGGCUUACCAAGGUGACGAUACAUAGCCGACCUGGGAGGGUGAACGGCCAAAAUGGGACUGGGACAAGGCCCAGGAUCCUACGGGGAGCAGCAGGAGGGAAUCUUCGGAAAAGGACGGAAGUCUGACCGAGCAACGCCGCGGGAGUGAAGAAGGGUUUCGGAUCGUAAAGCUCUGUUAUAAGGGAAGAAAGAGUGUGAGGGUGGAAAGUUCACGCUGUGACGGUAUCUUACCAGAAAGAAACGGCUAACUACGUG